UACAUGGGGUGCAAACGUUGCUCGGAAUUACUGGGCGUAAAGCGCGUGUAGGCGGCCCUGUAAGUCGGGUGUGAAAUCCCACGGCUCAACCGUGGAAGUGCAUUCGAAACUACAGGGCUAGAGUUCUGGAGAGGAAGGUGGAAUGCUUGGUGUAGAGGUGAAAUUCGUAGAUAUCAAGCGGAACACCGGUGGCGAAGGCGGCCUUCUGGACAGUAACUGACGCUGAGACGCGAAAGCGUGGGGAGCAAACAGG
rnacentral:rRNA from 1 species